rnacentral:RNase_P_RNA from 1 species
GAAGUGAGCCAGACCGCCGCUGGCGCAAGGGCCGAAAGGCCGCGCUGGAGGAAGGUCCGGACUGCACAGGGCAGCGUAGCAGGUAACACCUGUCCGCCGUGAGGCGAGGAUCAGAGCAACAGAGACGAGUCGGGUUGGGGUGCUCCACCCGGGUGCUCAGCGAGGGCCGGCGAGAGCCGGCGCCCCUGCGCCAGCAGGGGCUCGCGCGACAGCGCGAACCGAGCUGCACCCGGAUUGGGGCAUCGAGCCCCUAUCCGGGUGAAACGGGCAAUCUCUACGCGCAGCAAUACCAAGUAGGCCGGCGAUGAUGUGGCCCGCGGAGCCGGCGGGUAGGUAGCACCGAGCCGUGCGAGCGAUCCACGGCCCAGAGGAAUGGCGGUCACGGCGGGGCGACCCGCCGCACAGAAUCCGGCCUAUCGGCUCGCUUCAUCC